CGCAGAAGCACAACGGCUGAGGAUUCAACGUGUUUGCAGAGGAUCUAUUUCGGUAAAAUCAAGAAUACCAGUUGAUGACUGCUGUCCAGUGGAAAUAUCGAUCAUCUUGCUUGAUAAAACCUCAAUAUAUCAUCAGGAGCAACCGGUAUUAAUUUUGUGCUCCUUGAUAUGUUUUUUCCCUCCAAAAAUGGACAGUCUCUGACUUAAAUUGUAUCAAUCACCAAAGGCCACAUUUUCAGCUAAAAAUCUUCUUUGCUGUUCUGCUGAAGAAAAAUACUCAUGAACAUCUUGGGUGGCGUAAGGAUCUUUGCAGGAUUCAGUCGCAUAUCUCGGAUCUGAGUUCUGCGCAGCACUGGACACAGACUCUGCACUUUUGACAUUUUCUAGAAAAAAGGAUUUUAAAUUUCACAUCAAGUUAAUUAAAAGUCAUCUGAUGUUUCCACUGCAGUACUUCAGGGCCUUUCAGUCAUCCUGGAGAAUGACCCAGAGGAAUUUUACAGGAUGUGUUUCGUAAGAUGUGGAUGCAGACUUCAGUCAAGCAGUUGUAGACCUGCUCACAGUUCUACCAGAGGACAUGCCCUCAUUGUGGAUGCAAUAAAGGCAAUCAUGGAGGGAAGAAUUGUCAUGGAUGGGUUUGAAAGGCCUGUAUUUUAUUUUUGCUGUUCUGUUUGCAUGCCAUUCUGAAAAUGCUCUAUUGUUUAACAGUGUUCCAGUGGGUCCAGAUAAUGUUAUGACAACAAAGUGUUGUUUAGUCAAGAAGUCUGUAAAGAGUAUUAUAAGAACACAGAUGUUUUAAAAGCUAAUUUUUAUUAUUGUGAUAUUCUUAAAGUUUUUUACAAAAAUAAACUGUUGAGAAUUUCAAACUUGUGUUAAGUUCAUUUCAUGCUGGUUGAACGAAUAAAAAUACGUUCAGUUUACUUAAAGAAAAUGUGGAAACCGAUUGCACAAAAUGUUUUAAGUUCCCAUAGCUUAAAAUGGCAGAUUAAAUCCAUGUUGAGAAUAACAGCAUUUAAGAUGUUUGCACAACACAAAAUAACACUAUUAGUUAAUAGAAUUAAUAAAGUAAUCUUACUAUUAAAUCUUAAGUAAGAUUAGUAAAUGUCCUGGAGUAUGUUAACUAGAAAUGACAUUAAUCUAACUUGAUAUUUAUUAGAUAAUUUACUCUGUAAGAGUUUGCUUUCUUUACUUUAAACUGAUUAUUAAAUUAACUUUAGUUUUACCUUUAAGUUUGCUUUAACAAAAUAAGGCAAUCUGUUUCCAAACUUUUUUUAAGUAAGCUGAACUUAUUAGGAUUUACAGUGUACGGGACAGGAAGUUCAGCUACUAGUUUGUGAUGUCACAAGUACAGCCAAGUAAACACUAUUGCAUGGCCAAAAAUUGAAUUUCACUCACACUGUUUUAAUGACCCUGACAACGAGUGCAUUCAGCAUUGGGGAAAAAAAUUGCAUAUUUUUACUCAAAAAUAAUAUAUUUAUGGUGUGUUUCUUGUAUAUUUUGAAGACACCCUUAAUUAAUUUGUAAUAUACUUGUAAUACAAACAAAGU